UGGUUCAAUCUUCUCUGUGGGAGGAGGGAGGGAAGGGGUGUUCUGCUCCCGUGCAUCUGCCGCGGAGCAGGAGGUCGGCGGUUCGACCCCUGCCUGCGGCAAGGAUGGAGAAGAGCUUCAAGGUAAGGGCAAGGAUGGAGAAGAACUUCAGGGCAAGGACAAGGAUGGAGAAGAACUUCAGGGUAAGGACAAGCAGGGUAAGGGCAAGGAUGGAGAAGAACUUCAGGGCAAGGGCAAGGAUGGAGAAGCAGGGUAAGAUCCAGGAUGGAGAAGAACUUCAGGGUAAGUGCAAGGUUGGAGAAGAACUUCAGGGUUAGGGCAAGGAGGAUGGAGAAGAACUUCAGGGUAAGGACAAGCAGGGUAAGGGCAAGGAUGGAGAAGAACUUCAGGACAAGGGCAAGGAUGGAGAAGCAGGGUAAGAUCCAGGAUGGAGAAGAACUUCAGGGUAAGGGCAAGGUUGGAGAAGAACUUCAGGGUAAGGGCAAGGAUGGAGAAGAACUUCAGGGUAAGGACAAGCAGGGUAAGGGCAAGGAUGGAGAAGAUCUUCAGGGUAAGGGCAAGCAGGGUAAGGGCAAGGAUGGAGAAGCAGGGUAAGAUCCAGGAUGGAGAAGAACUUCAGGGUAAGGGCAAGGUUGGAGAAGAACUUCAGGGUUAGGGAAAGGAGGAUGGAGAAGAACUUCAGGGUAAGGGCAAGGAUGGAGAAGGACUUCAGGGUAAGGACAAGCAAGGUAAGGGAAAGGAUGGAGAAGAACUUCAGGGUAAGGGCUAGGAUAAGGUUAAGAAGAGCUACAAGAUAAGAUGUUAAGGUAAGGUUAAGAAGAGCUUAGGAUAAGGUUAAGAAGAGCUACAAGAUAAGAUGUUAAGGUAAAGUUAAGAAGAGCUUAGGAUAAGGAUGUUAAAUUGACUUUUACUUACUUACAAAGGUAAAUGAGGUAAAUAAAAUAUGUAGUAGAAAUGAAGUAGUAAAUAGUAAGUAGUGGUAUAACAGUACAUAGUAAGAUGGUUCAAAGCUGUAUGAUGAUGUCAGAAGUUAUGUAAUGAAUUAUAAAUGAUAAGAAAUAAUAAAGCUUCCAAACAAA